rnacentral:rRNA from 1 species
GACGCACGCUGGCGGCGUGCUUAACACAUGCAAGUCGAACGAAGAGCGAUGGAAGCUUGCUUCUAUCAAUCUUAGUGGCGAACGGGUGAGUAACGCGUAAUCAACCUGCCCUUCAGAGGGGGACAACAGUUGGAAACGACUGCUAAUACCGCAUACGAUCUAAUCUCGGCAUCGAGGAUAGAUGAAAGGUGGCCUCUACAUGUAAGCUAUCACUGAAGGAGGGGAUUGCGUCUGAUUAGCUAGUUGGAGGGGUAACGGCCCACCAAGGCGAUGAUCAGUAGCCGGUCUGAGAGGAUGAACGGCCACAUUGGGACUGAGACACGGCCCAGACUCCUACGGGAGGCAGCAGUGGGGAAUCUUCCGCAAUGGACGAAAGUCUGACGGAGCAACGCCGCGUGAGUGAUGACGGCCUUCGGGUUGUAAAGCUCUGUUAAUCGGGACGAAAGGCCUUCUUGCGAAUAGUGAGAAGGAUUGACGGUACCGGAAUAGAAAGCCACGGCUAACUACGUG